rnacentral:tRNA from 3 species
GGAUUGGUAGCUCAGUGGUAGAGCAAUCGACUGCAGUUCGAUAGGUCAUGGGUUCAAUUCCCAUUCGAUCCU